UCGGGAGGAGUUCGGAGGCUCCGGGCGGCGAACGAUUCGGACCCACGAACGGGCCGAGCCGCCUGGGCGCUGUCUUCGUCCCGCCCGACGCAUUUCCCCCCGCACGGCGGACGCCGCAACCGGUUGGGUAGCUGCGAGAGUCGGCCGCGAGGAACGGCUGCGGAAGGUGGACCGGGUGGCGGCUUCGGCCGCCUCCGGUUGUUAUAGCCUGCCGUUCCGUGGCGCGACACCCGACCGAGGUCAAUGUUCCCGGUUUCGGGAACGCUCAGUCGUCCCCCUCCCGGCGCGCCCGCCGGCAGGCGGUCUCCCCGGCUGCGAGUCACCCCUCGCGGUGGCCGCUCUUGGGAGUUCCGCCGCUGGCCGAACGGUGGCGCGCGGGGGCGCUGUUCCUCUUCUCGAGGUUGGCGGCGAGUAGGUCGGUCACCCACCCGACCCGUCUUGAAACACGGACCAAGGAGUCUAACAUGUGCGCGAGUCAUUGGGUCUUGCUCAGGCCCAAAGGCGCAAUGAAAGUGAAGGCGACGUCUCACGACGGCCGCCGUGUUGGGACCCCUCGGCCUCCGCGCCGGGGGAGCACCAACGACCCGUCCCGUCCGGCUCGCCGGUGGGGCGGAGUCUGAGCGUACACGUUGGGACCCGAAAGAUGGUGAACUAUGCCUGGGCAGGACGAAGCCAGAGGAAACUCUGGUGGAGGUCCGCAGCGGU
rnacentral:rRNA from 1 species